UUCUUUUCUCUAGUCAUUUUUAUAGACAGUGUGUUUGCACAAUAAGAUCAAACUAUUUAUGUUUAGAUGCAUAAUCAAUAAUAAUUUUAUAUUUAUUUGAGGUAGGAACAUUGGUUUGCCUUUUAUAAAAGAAUCAGGCUAAAAUACAAGCAAACAAAUAUAAUACAUAAAAAAAUGAAUGAAUGAAUGAAUAAAGUCAAUAAAAAUAAAUGAAUUAAAACAGUAAAUCAAAACUAAAUAAGUUAACUAAAAAGAGUUAAUUCUUAAAGUCAAUAAUAAAUUAAUUACUUAAAAAUAAAAAUAAAAAUAAAAAAUACAAAAAUAAAACAGUAAAAAUUUAAACACAGUGAAUUAUAAAUCAAUCAAUCAAUUAAUCAUAACCUCGAGGAUGGCCAGACUUCACCUUUGCUGGCCUGAAGAGGGAGCUGUUUUUCAGAUCAGACUGACACUGUGUUUGUGUUUACUUCACCAUGUGCUUUAGGGAAGUGUAACUCACACACAACUGAACACACACAAUAUCUACCUAAUAUUUAGUGUGUGAAACAGGUAGUGUGAGUGAGGUUGAAGCAGGCAGUCAUGAGAACCGUCACGUCCUUCAGUUUCUCAGCAGUUCUUGGUCUCUCAGCGCUGUGGCUGAUGGAGAACUCGCUGGCUGUUAACAUCACUGGAUCUGUGGGAAGCAACUUCUCAGUCUCCUGCAGCUAUCCUGAAACCUACCAGAACAACAGCAAGUACUUCUGCCAGAUGAGCGGCUCGUUUGCUCCAGGAGCUCUUCGGUGUGUUCACAUCACACAACCAGAGACGAGGUCUGGACGAGGGAGACUGGCUCUUCUGGACGACACCAGCGCUCAUGUUCUUACAGCAAACAUCUCUACACUGGCUCCAGAAGACUCGGGAAAGUACUGGUGUGGUGUAGAUAUCGCUCUGCUGCCGGAUUUCACCUCAGAGAUCUGGAUAACAGUCACCAAAGAACAGCCACAAGAGCAAACCACAGACCGGUUCACGGAAGAUCCUGCCGGUGAGAUUAUGAAACACACACACACACACACACACACACACACGCACACACACACACACAC
ensembl:lncRNA